AUGACCCCUCUAAGCAAAGCUCUCUCUGCCCCAUGCUGCAGGUACUGGCGUGACCACUCAGGACAUCUGCAGCUCUCCAGGAUUUCGGGAGCAUGGAGGUGGGUCCCAAAAAUGAACGUGUCUUGUGGAAAGAGAUGGGAAGAGAGAAGCGAAUUAUUACCUCAUGGUUCCCCCUGUGAAGCCCUGGGAGAGCAGAUUUUUCCAGCCUUGGCAUGCAGUUGGUUUUGCCACCUGGCCAUCACUAAUGCUUGCCUGGGGAAUCCCUCUGCCUUCUCUCCAGGUAACAACCAGGCUCCAGUCCUGUACCUCAAUGCUUCCAGUGCCCAGGAGGGGGAAAUAGUGCUGCUUCAAUGUACCCUUGAUGAGCAGUUUCCUCCUACACGAGUUGUCUUCUGCAAGAAUGGGCUGGAGGAGUUCAGCCUGAAAGCCCAGCAGGGCAGGCUCAUCUACACUCUGGUCCUGAACAUCACCUCCAGAAGUGCUGGGACGUACACGUGUGGGUACCAGCAAAAGAACAAGGAAAACUGGGUGAGGAGCUCUGCUCUCAGUGCUCCCCGGACCUUGUCUGUGGCAGGUGCAGGUGCUGGUGAGACCACCACUGAUAUCCACAGCUCCAUAGGUGAGGACAAGUGUUAGGGGAUGCCAGCUGCACAGGCACAUCCUGCUCCCUGCCUCUCCCCAUCACACCCCUCUGCCCUCACACACUCUCUCCCCCAGCUCCACAUGCCUGGAUCCGACACACUUUCCCCACAGGCACGGUGCUGGCAGUGGCAGCCGUCGGCCUCGUCCUCCUGGCUGCAGGCAGCUGGUUUGCAAUCAGGAAAGGUGAGGAAGUGGGGGAAAGCGGGGGGAAAGGCUGAGGCCGUGGGGGUCCUCUUGGGGCUGGUGCAGUGGGAAAGGUGGUUGGGGGAACGUGGGGGUGCACAGCUGGGGCAGACGGUGCCUGGGGGUGAUGGCUGUGGGCAGCCCAGCUGGGGAGGCUGCUGAGGGAGCUGGGGAGUUUCAGCCUUCAUCCCCCAGCCCCGAGAUGGGAGCCAGGGCUGGGCAGCACCUUGGCCUGUGCACCUCAGCCCCUGUUCUUCUUGCAGGUGCCUGCAGAGGGAGAUGCCCAAGGUGAGCACCAAGGGCUGCUGGCUGUGGGGUAUGCGGGAGGGAGUUGGGGGAAUGAAAGGUCCCUGGGGUGCUCCUUGUUCAGGGGCAUUCCCUGUGCAGAAGGCAGGAAGGAUGGGGCUUGUCUUUGCCUGCCCUCCAGUUCAAUGAAAAAUGCAGGAAAGCAACACCAAAGGGCAUGAGCCUCAAGAUCCCUCCUCAGCACAUGCACAUCCCAGAACCAUUCCAUUCCUCUCCAGGCAGCAGCACGUUGACAGCCCACAGACGGAAGACACCAACUAUGGUGACAUCCAGUGUGAGUACUACCUCCUCCCUUGGGGGAAGCCACAUGCUCCUCUCCCCAUGAGAAUCUUCUGCAAGUCCUCAUGGAAUCCUACCACUUCAUUUCCCACUGGGAAUAACAAAAUCCCUGCUCAUUCAUCAAGGCCAGGUUUCUCUCCAGC
rnacentral:lncRNA from 1 species